GACGAACGCUGGCGGCGUGCUUAACACAUGCAAGUCGAACGGUGAAGCGAGUGCUUGCACUCGUGGAUCAGUGGCGAACGGGUGAGUAACACGUGAGUAACCUGCCCAUCACUCUGGGAUAAGCGCUGGAAACGGUGUCUAAUACUGGAUACGACCAACCCUUGCAUGGGGUGUUGGUGGAAAGAUUUAUCGGUGAUGGAUGGACUCGCGGCCUAUCAGCUUGUUGGCGGGGUAAUGGCCCACCAAGGCGACGACGGGUAGCCGGCCUGAGAGGGUGACCGGCCACACUGGGACUGAGACACGGCCCAGACUCCUACGGGAGGCAGCAGUGGGGAAUAUUGCACAAUGGGCGAAAGCCUGAUGCAGCGACGCCGCGUGAGGGAUGACGGCCUUCGGGUUGUAAACCUCUUUCAGCAGGGAAGAAGCGAAAGUGACGGUACCUGCAGAAGAAGCACCGGCUAACUACGU
rnacentral:rRNA from 1 species